CAAUAGCAUAUAUUAAAGUUGUUGCAGUUAAAAAGCUCGUAGUUGGAUUUCUGGUAUGAUGCACCUCUUCCGCCUCGAUUACGAGUGUGUGUAAGAGCGCGCGUCUGCCAUCCAUUUGCAGAAUGUGUCUACCCUUUAUUGGGCCGGAUAUGUGAUGUAAAUCUUUACUUGAAAAAUUAGAGUGUUUAAAGCAGGCAUUUGCUAUGAAUACAUUAGCAUGGAAUAAUAAGAUAUGACUUUGGUCUAUUUUGUUGGUUUGCACUCCAAAGUAAUGAUUAAUAGGAUAGUUGGGGGUAUUCGUAUUCAAUUGUCAGAGGUGAAAUUCUUGGAUUUAUGGAAGACGAACUACUGCGAAAGCAUUUACCAAGGAUGUUUUUCAUUAAUCAAGAACGAAAGUUAGGGGAUCGAAGACGAUUAGAU
rnacentral:rRNA from 1 species